rnacentral:rRNA from 1 species
AAACCCGGGAAACGGGUAUAAUCCCUGAUAGUCCUCGAACGCUGGAAUGCAUCGAGGACGAAAGCUCCGGCGCCUGAGGAUGGGUCUGCGGCCUAUCAGGUAGUAGUGGGUGUAACGUACCUACUAGCCUACGACGGGUACGGGUUGUGAGAGCAAGAGCCCGGAGAUGGAUUCUGAGACACGAAUCCAGGCCCUACGGGGUGCAGCAGGCGCGAAAACUUUACAAUGCCGGCAACGGCGAUAAGGGGACCUCGAGUGCCAGGUUACAAAUCUGGCUGUCGUGAUGCCUAAAAAGCAUUGCAUAGCAAGGGCCGGGCAAGACCGGUGCCAGCCGCCGCGGUAACACCGGCGGCUCGAGUGGUAACCGUUAUUAUUGGGUCUAAAGGGUCUGUAGCCGGCCGGAUAAGUCUCUUGGGAAAUCCAGCAGCUCAACUGUUGGGCUUUCAGGAGAUACUGUUCGGCUCGAGGCCGGGAGAGGUGAGAGGUACUUCAGGGGUAGGGGUGAAAUCUUGUAAUCCUUGAAGGACCACCAGUGGCGAAGGCGUCUCACCAGAACGGACCUGACGGCAAGGGACGAAAGCUAGGGGCACGAACCGGAUUAGAUACCCGGGUAGUCCUAGCCGUAAACGAUACUCGCUAGGUGUCGGCCACGGUGCG